rnacentral:lncRNA from 1 species
ACGUUAAACCCUCGUUCGAAAUUUAUUACAAGGAAAACAGAGAGGAGACAUCGAUCAUCUCAUCCACAACGAAAACUCUUUGUGAUCAGCAAUCAGUCCCGAAUUCUAGCAGCAGCAGCAAGAGCAGCAGCAGCAGCAAUCGUCCUUUGGCUUCGGCUUGGGCUUUUCCACCUUGAUCUCCUGGAAGGAUUCCACAGAAAUACACUUGCGUUGCUUCUCGGUGGCCUUGAGGAUGUCGUCCACCUUGAAAUCACCCGUGAAGGUGUAAAAGGGAUCGUUAACCUCCACUUUCUUCACACCUGCAAGAGCACGAAGAUCUCUUGAUCAGCGAUCAAAAUUUGGGAGAAUUUGCGGAAAUCUACACUCACCGGAGACGCCGUGAUAGAUCUGAGACAUAAUCUUGUCCUUGCAUUUGUUGCAAGAGUCCACUUUCAAGACAACCUGCAGCACAGAGCUCGAGAUCAAACAAGGCUCAACGAAAUCAGCCAGACGCAAUGCUCACCUUCCAAGCCAUCUUGAUUGUCUACGAAUUUGCAGAUCACAGUUGUGAAAUUCGCAGCUUUGACAAGCUUGAGACGCUAGAUACCGGAAGACGGAGAAGCGGAAGAGAAGAGGGCCCUGCUGCUGACUGGGGAGACGUCAUCAAUUUAAGCAGUCGGAUGGAAUGCUUUCCACGGUUUACGCCGUGUGGAAGCCGGUCUUUGUAUGUAUGAUGAAUCCCGCGCACGUUCGUAAAAAGAAAACCUUUUUUUAUUAUAAUACUUUUUAUAUCGAGACAUAGGCGCCAAAGCCCUAAUUUUUGGAACAGAAAUGUAGAUUUGAACUUGAUGGUCUCGCUGGCGUGCAAGAGCUGGCGCGCUCACACCGGCGUGGAGCUCCACUUCUGCGAUCGUCCACGACGCCAUCUCCAGCGUCAUCGCGUGCCUCCGCAAGGUCUGUUUAGAAGCAAACAUGAGGUUUGUAUACAGACAAAAAGUUGUAAGAGUUAACCUCUUUCGAGUUUUCGUUGAAUCCCUUUGGCGUUAAUCAUGGGGAUGGCUCCAGUCGGUGUAAUCGUUGUUGACGACGUGGAAGUAUCCAUGUCGGCAUCUACAAAAGCAGAAGAAGAAGACGAAAUCCUGUUCGAACAGGGCAAUGCAAGUUUACAAUCACUUUGGACAGCAUCCUUUUUCUUUCUUAGCUCACAGCAGCACGACAUUCUGAUCUGCGAUCUACGAGAUCCGAGCAACCCUACGUCGCGGCGCGGAAUGGAGCGUACUUCAUCACAUCUGGAGUUGGAUCCGGGUCGGUCUAGGGCAAAGCGUCGAGCCUCGCCGCCAAGCCGCGGCCUACGUCAGUAGCACUUCUCUGCGGCACAGAUUCCAUGCUGACUAGUGAUUAUCAUCGCCAGUCGUCAUCAGCAGCUGUACAGCAUUACUGGACUGCGGACUAAUUGUUAUCCCUCUUAAUUAUUUGAAGGUCUCGGAAGGAAUAAGCUGGUGCAAUAUCAUUUGAAGGAUGGUUACAUGAGAGAGAGAGAGAGAGAGAGAGAGAGAGAGAGCUCCAUCUCUCUCCUCCAUCUCCAUGGAAGAAAGAAGAAGGAAAGUCUGGCAACCUCGGCCGGGAAUGGAUGAAAACUGGAAAGAGUUCUCUAGCCCUGACACGGAAGCGUUCUCUCCAUUUAUGAAACAAAGAAAGAAGUUGUACCUUUGGAAGUUUUGCUUGAUCGUAUCCUGAAAAACUUCUUAGCUCUUAAUAGAUCAUAUGUGGAUAAAAGAUAUAAUGGAAUAGUGCUAGUUGCUGCAACACAAUGUGCAGCAAUUUAUUUUGUGUUGCUGAUUAGGCAAAUGGGAGAGUUUGAGAAUAUUCACAACAUAUUAUUAUUCUAUAAAUGUGAUAACAUAAUAGAAUGCUUAUUACUAUUUAACAUUUAUUCCUUGGAGAAACUACAUGGUUAACUAAACUAAAGAUAAGGUAGUACCAACUUGAGGAACACCCAAUUGCUGGUCUGACGAAUGAGCCUAGCAGCUCAUCUAGACAAAAAGUGGGGUGAAUCUAGUAGGCCAGGGCAUUGAGAUGGAACAGCUGUUUGCAGGGCAGAAAUGUGCUCAAGGACUUGUAUACGUAUGCGGAUCCAUCAUACACGUGGUGCUCUCUCUCCAGGAGUGCAGAUGAAAGAUAUGUGGAUUAUAUUGCCCAGCUCCUGUUCGACGAUCUGCUGCCUCCACCUUAAUUGUCUUGGGAAAUCACAGCUUUGAUCGCAACUGAGACACUAGAUACCGAGUCGGAGAGACGGAGACCGGAGAGGGCAAGCCGUACAUACUUGGGGCGAAAGAUGGACUGCUGGUUCUAGAUUAAUCAUAGAUUAAUAUAAGUAAUUUGAAUUAUAUCCCAGCAAGCUACAUACGGCAACUCGCAUUACUUUUUCGAAGCUUCUACGAUUCCCCGCUGAUUCCUUUAUGCAGGCUUUGUGUGUCAACAUCCUUGAAAUUUAAACAUUUCCGCUCCCCCAAAGAUGGGAAGAACCAUUUCAACGUAGCACUCGCAUGCUCUGGAUGUUAGAAUCUCAAUCCUAUUGCAACAAAAAUUUGGUGAAAUACACCGAAUGAUCAGGUGCUCUACGUUAAACCCUCGUUCGAACUUGAUUACAAGGAAAACAGAGAGGAGAGAUCGAUCAUCUCAUCCACAACAAAACCUAUAUAUGAUCAGCAAUCAGUCCCGAAUUCUAGCAGCAGGAGCAAGAGCAGCAGCAGCAGCAAUCGUCCUUUGGCUUCGGCUUGGGCUUUUCCACCUUGAUCUCAUGGACGGAUUCCACAGAAAUACACUUGCGUUUCUUCUCGGUGGCCUUGAGGACGUCGUCCACCUUGAAAUCACCCGUGAAGGUGUAAAGGGGAUCUUUAACCUCCACUUUCUUCACACCUGCAAGAGCACGAAGAUCUCUUGAUCAGCGAUCAAAAUUUGGGAGAAUUUGCGGAAAUCUACACUCACCGGAGACGCCGUGAUAGAUCUGAGACAUCAUCCUGUCCUUGCAUUUGUUGCAAGAGUCCACUUUCAAGACAACCUGGAGCACAGAGCUCGAGAUCAAACAAGGCUCAACGAAAUCAGCCAGACGCAAUGCUCACCUUCCAAGCCAUCUUGAUUGUCUACGAAUUUGCAGAUCACAGUUGUGAAAUUCGCAGCUUUGACAAGCUUGAGACACUAGAUACCGGAGGACGGAGAAGCGGAAGAGAAGAGGGCCCUGCUGCUGACUGGGGAGACGUCAUGAAUUUAUAUCCGAGCAGCAGUCGUUCCACUCCGUUUACGCAGAAAGUUUCCCGUAGGAAUUGCCGUGUGGAAGCCGUGUUUGUAAUCCCGCGCACGUUCGUAAAAAGAAAACGUUUUUUUAUUAUAAUACUUUUUAUAUCGAGACCUAGAAUCCAUUUGGCGCCAAAGCCCUAAUUUUUUGAACAGAAAUGUAGGGUUUCAUCUUGAUGGUCCCUGGCGCGCUCACACCGCCUGGAUCGGCACGCUCGUCGUGCGGUGGAAGAUCGCCCCCAAUUCGACAGCCAGGGCGUCAUGAUCCAGGAGGAGCGCCGCCGAAUCUGUGGCAAGCACGGCGUGGAGCCCCACUUCUGCGAUUGCGUCCACGACGCCAUCUCCAGCGUCAUCGCGUGCCUCCGCAAGGUCUGGUAACUGGAUCUUUGCGAGCUUCGAAUUCGCGGAUGGAUUGGAGUACCUCUCCUCGGGGAUGCCAGCGAGUUCCAGCGGCGUUUUGGAGAAUCUCUUCACGCCGUCCAUGCAAGAAAGCGCUCAAGGGGUUCCUGCAAGCGCUUGGCGGAAUGCGCGAUUGGAUUCGGCCGCAUGGUGUAAGACUCGAUCUUUGGGUCCGUCCAACAACAUCUGGCACGCUCGCUCGCUCCACUGAUGGUCUCAUCGACGCCAUCAUGGCUUCCACGACAAGGUGAGUGCUCUGCUCUCUCUUUUCUCCAAAGUUUUCCUUGUUUACAGCAUUUCCCCGGAACAGUUACGAUACCAGAAAUCUUCGAGCGAACACACAGGAACACAUAAAGAAAGCAAUCACCCAAACAAUCUGGCGAGCAAAGACGCAAGAACACAUCAAGAAAAAAACCACCCAUGCAAGAACCCAGUUUUAUUCACGCUAUUUGCAGGCUCAGAUCUCCAGUUCCAGCUCUUCCAGAUGGAUUCCUCCGUGCACUCUCGCUUUGUUAUCUGUUUAGAAGCAAACACGAGGUUUGUAUACAGACAAAAAGUUGUAAGAGUUAACCUCUUUCGAGUUUUCGUUGAAUCCCGCAAAGAAUUUAUUGCCUUUGGCGUUACCUCCAAUGGCUCCAGUCGGUGUAAUCGUUGUUGACGACGUGGAAGUAUCCAUGUCGGCAUCUACAAAAGCAGAAGAAGAAGACGAAAUCCUGUUCGAACGGGGCAAUACAAGUUUACGAUCACUUUGGACAGCAUCCUUUUUCUUUCUUAGCUCACAGCAGCACGACAUUCUGAUCUGCGAUCUACGAGAUCCGAGCAACCCUACGUCGCGGCGCGGAAUGGAGCGUACUUCAUCACAUCUGGAGCUGGAUCCGGAAGGAAUAAGCGAGCGUGUUCCAUCGCUAGCUCCAUCUCUCUCCUCCAUCUCAAUGGAAGAAAGAAGAAGGAAAGUCUGGCAACCUCCGCCGGGAAUGGAUGAACACUGGAAAGAGUUCUCUAGCCCUGGCACGGAAGCGUUCUCUCCAUUUAUGAAACAAAGAAAGAAGUUGUACCUCUGGAAGUUUUGCUUGAUACUUCUUAGCUCUUGCUUCCCUUGACAUGCCUAAACGCUGCUUGACACAAGUUAGUAAUGAAGCAGUCGCCACAGCAAGGCCAAGCGGAUUGCAAAUGGUCUGACCAAAUCCAUGCAUGAAAAAAACAUGGAACAAAAUGGAUUGAUCGGAACCCAUUCUUCCCCCGGCAACCACGACUCUAGCGAGAUCCACGUCUCCUCUGGAGUUUUCGUGUCCUUUCAAAGCAAACAAGUAUGGAUCACAGUAUAGAGAGAACUUUGCUGGAAGAAACAACGUACGAAGCGUUUUUUUGGAUGUUGAUUUUGGAUAUGAUACGCAUUCCAGUCGGUUUGUAAUCCGGUGGACGUGAGUGUCGACACAAAUGCAUGCACGCUCUCCACGUUCAUCACCUACAUAAAGUUUUGGAAGGCAAAAUGAUUUAUAAAUAAAAUAUAAAUGAGACAAAACAGAUAUAAAGCUAUAAUAUAUAAAUAAAAAAUACAUAUAACUCAAUAUAUUAUUCUAAAUGAACAAAUAAACGAACACAACGAAAAAAUAAUAUAGUAUACACAAGGUACAACAUGAAUAUGGAAAUUCCUGUCCUACAAAUUUCAGCUUACCAAAUAACACAAGAAAAAUACAAAUACUAUAUAAAAUAUUACAUUUAAAAAAGAAAAUAGCAAUUGAAAUAACACAAAAAAUAGCAACGGAAAAUGAACUAGUAAAUGGAGCAGAUGGAGUAUUAUAAAAUGUAACCCAUAUCAAAGAAGAAAACAUAAUAGAUAGAAUCCCCAAAUAUAGAAACAGGUGAAAAAACAAAAGCUAAAGAGUAAAUAAAAAUAAUUUUAAAAAACAAGAUACCAAUAAGAAAAGUAACAAGAAUAAUAAAUAUUGCUAAAAUCCAAAAUUAUGUUUUAAACAGAACCCACCAUAUGUAGGAAGAAUAAUACACAGAGCUUAAGGAUCAACAGUAAAACAAUUAGAAUAUGACCUGUAUAAAACAAAAUAUCAAAGACAAGCAUAUAUAACAUUAUCAAGAGCACAAACAUUAGAGGUAAUAAAGAUGCAGCUAAAGACAUAAUAAGAAUGACAACAGAAGCACCAUGGCAAAUUAAUUUAAUAGAUUUACAAAAAGAGAAAAAAUCUAACCAAACUAAUACAAGUUUUAAAUAUAACAUCUGUUACAUCAUAUCAAGAAGAUAUAAAGAGUGUUUCAAUAUUAUUAUUAUUAAAUAUAAUGUUUAUAUAUAUAUAUAUAUAUAUAUAUAUAUAUAUAUAUAUAUAUAUAUAUAUAUAUAUAUAUAUAUAUAUAUAUGAAAACCCAUAUAGCAAUAUUUCAUACAAAUGACUAUAAAUCAGAAAAAUUAAAACAUUUAAAAACAGAAAAAAUGGCAAUGUCAUAUAUAUCACUAGUGAAAAAUAAUAAAUAAAUACAAAUACUAAAUUUACAUAGAAAACCUGGAACAAUUAUAUAAAUAUUUAUAAAAUAACUACAUAUGUAUAUAUAUAUAUAAAAUAAUUACAGGAAAUUUCAAUAUUGACUAUCAAAAUGAAGAAGCAAAACCAAUGGAGAUAUAUAUAAAUAAUAAAAGACAAUACACAUUAUAAGAAACUAAUAGAUCAUAUGUGGAUAAAAGAUAUAAUGAAGUAGUACCAGCAUACUGGACAGAUCAAAACAAAUUAUAUAGUAAAAAAUAUUAAAAAAAAAAAAACAAAACAAGCAUUGCUGCAACACAAUGUGCAGCAAUUUAUUUUGUGUUGCUGAUUACGCAAACUGUUAUAAAUGGGAGAGUUUGAGAAUAUUCACAAAAUAUUAUUAUUCUAUAGCGGGGAUUUAAUGUGCUAGGGCUGGCGGCCGGACGAGGCCGUGAUGGCGGGGAUGAUCGAGUCGUGCUGCAACAUAAUUGAAUGUUUAUAAUGUUAAACCUUUUUACUAUGUAACAUUUAUUCCUUGGAGAAACUACAUGGUUAACUAAACCAAAGAUAACUGGUCAUCUAGCAGAACACCCAAUUGCUGGUCUGACGAAUGAGCCUAGCAGCUCAUCUAGACAAAAGUGGGAUGAAUCUAGUUGCCAUAAAACUUAGGCCAGGGCAUUGAGAUGGAACAGCUGUUUGCAGGGUGACAGCCCAUGACAGUGGAAAGAAGAGUGGGAUGAGGGAUCCUUGUCCUCGCAGUUGAGCAAAAACUGGAUGUAUGCGGAUCCAUCAUACACGUGGUGCUCUCUCUCCAGGAGUGCAGAUGAAAGGUAUGUGGAUUAUAUUGCCCAGCUCCUGUUCGACGAUCUGCUGCCUCCACCUUAAUUGUCUUGGGAAAUCACAGCUUUGAUAGCAGCUGAGACACUAGAUAGACGGAGAGCGGAGAGGGCAAAGCCGUACAUACUUGGAGCGGAAGAUGGACUGCUGGUUCUAUAUUAAUCAUAGAUUAAUAUAAGUAAUUUGAAUUAUAUCCAAAUCUGAACAAACCAUAAACCUGUAGACCAAGUCAAUGUUUUGAACGAGGAUUUGACUUGACCAUUGAAUAGUCAAGCACGUUCACACAGGUUAGCAAGCUACGUACAGCACGCAUUACUUUUUUGAAGCUUCUAUGAUUCUCCCACUGAUUCCUUCAUGCAGGCUUUGUGUGUCAACAUCCUUGAAAUUUAAACAUUUCCGCUCCCGUAAAGAUGGGAAGGACCAUUUCAACGUAGCACUCGCGUGCUCUGGAUGUUAGAUUGACAAUCUCAAUCCUAUUGCAACAAAAACUUGGUGAAAGAAACCGAAACCCCUCGUUCGAUUUGAUUAGAACUUACAUGAGAGGAGAGAUUGAUCAUCUCAUCCACAACAAAACCUCUCUAUGAUCAGUAAUCAGUCACGAAUUCUAGCAGCAGCAGCAAGAGCAGCGGCAGCAGCAGCAAUCGUCCUUUGGCUUGGGCUUUUCCACCUUGAUCUCCUGGACGGAUUCCACAGAAAUACACUUGCGUUUCUUCUCGGUGGCCUUGAGGAUGUCGUCCACCUUGAAAUCACCCGUGAAGGUGUAAAGGGGAUCGUUAACCUCCACUUUCUUCACACCUGCAAGAGCACGAAGAUCUCUUGAUCAGCGAUCAAAAUUUGGGAGAAUUUGCGGAAAUCUACACUCACCGGAGACGCCGUGAUAGAUCUGAGACAUCAUCCUGUCCUUGCAUUUGUUGCAAGAGUCCACUUUCAAGACAACCUGCAGCACAGAGCUCGAGAUCAGACAAGGCUCAACGAAAUCAGAGACGCAAUGCUCACCUUCCAAGCCAUCUUGAUUGUCUACGAAUUUGCAGAUCACAGUUGUGAAAUUCGCAGCUUUGACAAGCUUGAGACACUAGAUACGGAAUGAAGAGGGCCCUGCUGCUGACUGGGGAGACGUCAUGAAUUUAUAUCCGAGCAGCAGUCGGAUGGAAUGCUUUCCACUCGUUUUACGCGGAAAGUUUCCCGUAGGAAUUGCCGCGUGGAAGCCGUCUUUGUAUGUACGAUGAAUCCCGCGCACGUUCGUAAAGAGAAAACGUUUUUUUUAUUAUAAUACUUUUUAUAAGACCUAUAAUCCGUUUGGCGCCAAAGCCCUAAUUGUUUGAACAGAAAUGUAGGGUUUGAUCGCUGGCGUGCAAGACCUGGCGCGCUCACACCGCCUGGAUCGGCACUGUUGUCGUGCGGUGGAAGAUCGCCCCCAAUUCGACAACCAGGGCGUCAUGAUCCAGAAGGAGCGCCGCUCGAAUCUGUGGCAAGCACGAAACAAAGAACAAGGCCAGAGAACUCUGGCCGAGGUUGCCAAACUUUCCUUCUUCUUUCUUCUAUGAAGAUGGAGAUGGAGCUCCAAUCUCUCUCCAUCAUGUAACCAUCCUUCUAGCGAUGGAACACACUCACUUAUUCCAUCCAGAAACCUUUAAAACAUCAUAGCCCGCAGUGGAUAAUUAAGAGGGCGAGACCGAUCGACAAGAAUGUUGUACAGCUGCUGAUGACGACUGGCGAUGGCGAUGAUCAUCCUCAAGUCAGCAUGGAAAUCCUACUCCGCAGGGAAUUGCUCCUGCCGAGAGAGUUAGCUCACCAAUGUAGGCCGUGGGCUUGGCAGCGAGGCUCGAGGCUUUGCCAUAGACCGAUCCAGCUCUCCAGACGUGAUGAAGUACGCUCCAUUCAGGAACAAGUUCUUCCCGGAUCUCCAGUGCCAGCUCUUCCAGAUUGAUUUCUCAGUGUACUCUCGCUUUAUGAUCAAACAUCAGUUUUGUAGCCUAUACAAAGAAAAAGUUCAAAAAAGCUUUACCUCUUUCGAGUUUUUGCAAAGAAUGUAUUGCCUUCAAUUGUGGGAUUUGCGCUGCCUCCAAUGGCGUACAUCUUCCAUUCUGUGUAGUCAUGGUUGACAAUGUGGAAGUAUCCGUGUCGGCAUCUACCAAAGCAAAAGAAGAAUACGAAAUCCAGUUAGAAAAGCCAAACCCGUGCGCAAAGAAAGCAAAAGCGUGAGGCUGACCUCGGCAUUCUUUCGACUAAACCCUGUUUAAAGUGAUUGUAAGCUACAGUCACUUGCAUUGCCCGGUCCGCAGUGUAAUCGUCGUUGUGUCCCAGGAGCAUCCAAAGCGUGAAAAAAAGGAGAUCUAGGAGGUGUGAGCGUGCCAGGCCUUGCAGACCGUCAGCAACAAAAGGAGAUUGAGAGCGUGGUACCGGAAGAUCUGGAGAAAGCGCUCCAAGAAAGAGAUUUCUUUCAAAAAAUUAUGACAAAUUUGAAAAACUCAGUUGGCGGUCAAUUGGCGCCAAAAUCCAAAAUGGGGUGAGAGAUGCUCGAACUCUCGACCUCAGGAUUUCUCAGGAGCUAUGAGACCUACGCGCUGACCAACUGCGCCACCACCUCUUCUAGAAACUUCUUAUAUAAUUAUAAGUCAAACCGUGCAUUUUAUUUUUCAUCAGAUUCAUUGGACGUAAGUUCAAGCAAGGACGCCUUCCACGCGGGCGAAACUUUAAGCGGAAACCGAGUGGAAAGGACUGGAAAUCUUGCGUCGCACGUUACUCGGGUAUAAAUUCAUGACGUCUCCCCAGUCAGCAGCAGGGCCCUCUUCUCUUCUGCUUCUCCGUCUCUCCGACUCUCGUGGUUAUUGGUAUCGCUUGUCAAAGAGCUGCGAAUCCGUGAUCUUCUCGAUCAAAUUCGUAGACAAUUAAGAUGGCUUGGAAGGUGAGCAUUGCGUCUGGCUGAUUUCGUUGAUUGUUUGAUCUCGAGCUCUGCGCUGUAGGUUGUCUUGAAAGUGGACUCUUGCAACAAAUGCAAGGACAAGGUUAUGUCUCAGAUCUAUCACGGCGUCUCCGGUGAGUGUAGAUUUCCGCGAAUUCUCCCAAAUUUCGAUGCUGUGAUCGCUGAACAAGAGAUCUUCAUGCUCUUGCAGGUGUGAAGAAAGUGGAGGUUAAAGAUCCCCUUUACACCUUCACAGGUGAUUUCAAGGUGGACGACAUCCUCAAGGCCAUCGAGAAGAAACGGAAGUGUAUAUCUGUGGAAUCCGUCCAGGAGAUCAAGGUGGAAAAGCCCAAGCCGAAGCCAAAGGACGAUUGCUGCUGCUGCUGCUCCUGCUCCUGCUGCUAGAAUUCCAGACUGAUCACUGACGAUAAAGAGUUUUGUUGUGGAUGAGAUGAUCGAUCUCUCCUCUCUGUUUUCCUUGUAAUCAAUUUCGAACGAGUGUUUAACGUAGAGCACCAGAUCAUUCAGUUUCUUUCACCAAAUUUUUGUUGCAAUAGGAUUGAGAUUGUCG